AAAUUGACAAAAAUGAAAAAUUAUGUUAAAAUUGUGAAAAGUUGAAAAGCUUUGGGUUAUUUUGAUCAGUAGCCAGAAAGACGACAAUCACUUUAGUUCUGUCGUUUAGCCGCUUUCUGCGAGGCAUAAACUUCUGCCUGAAAGAAAUUUGAAUAUCUCUUCACGUCGUAGUUGGUUGCAAACUUGUUCUUCGCUCUGUGCUGAAUUUCGACUCACUGUAUUUUGCAAAACUAGGAUUUUGUGGUUGUUGAAGGGCCAUGUGAAGAGUACUUGACUUACUGUUCCAAGUGAGUGAAGAUAUACAUCUGCUUGCUACCUCAUUUUACUUGCUGCAACUACAUAUCUGAAUAAGCACUGGGAUCUAAGAGCUUGAAGGACCUUUUAACUCAUUCAGAAGUGUAAAAUAGCAAGGGCAGCAUCUUCCAACUGAACUGUGAGAAAGAUCAUUGAAGUUCUCUUUCUGGUACUAUUUUCUAUGGACGUUUGCAUCUCUUAAUGCCAGUUGUGACAUUGUUUGAGCUUGAAGAUUGCAUAGAUAGAGUCCAUUCCACAUUUUCUCUUGAAGUGAUUUAUUUGUAUAAUUAGCUUGAUGCUAGGGUAGCAUAGGCAAGGCCAGCUAAAGGCAAAUACAUAGAAAGCAAGACCAGGUGAUGUAAUCAGAUCUUUCAAUAAGUGUAAAGCAUUUUUGAGAACAGACUAUUAAACUUAUUUUUUGGAAUGGCUAGUACACUCUCUUGUUGCCGAAUACUCUUGGUAAAUCCUAUUGUAGAGUUGGAUCUAGAAUGUGCAAGAAGGAAUUUCACAUCAAUAAAUAAGUUUGAGGUUUCAAUAUUGUAUUCGUUGAGAAAGUUGGACUUGGCAUCAAAAACUGAUUAAUAUGGAUUUGAAUCAUGGGGAUAGUUGGAGUGGUUAGCGAUGUUGGUUGUAUUCAUUAAUUAAUUGGUGGAAAAAGUUGUAUACAUUAGAAUUUUAUUUCCAUAUGACAGACUUCACCGAAAUUUAUUGCUUAAAGAUAUGGUUGCUCAACUUUGAUUUGCAGUAGACCUCUCUUUCUUACGAUGGGACUUAAGCCAUUGCCAUAGGCACAUAAUAUACGGUACGAAAUUUGUGAUUAUCUCACUGCAUAUUGAGAAUGAGGGUCUAUAGACACACCGACUUUGAGACAAGCUUCCGAGAAAUGGAAUUGGCUUAGGAUAAAGAAGACAAAUUUACAAGCACUAAGGAUGGCGUUUUACUUACCUUUUCCUAUUAUAAGCAUAGACUCUUAACAUAGAGCUUCUGUACUUGUUAGCAUCCACAUAAGUCAUUUUCGAGCAUCUGCUAGGCCACAACUCACAUGUUGUAAGUGCAUGACAUGACAUUUCAACAUUGUAUUAUUGCGUCCUCCGACUUGUACUUAUUUCUCACUAGAAGUUCAUUUCUUUUGUCUGAUCUUGAGAUGUGACUCUGAUUUUACUUUCGAAUUUUGGGAUCGUCUGUUGAUUGAUGAGUUGAAUUAUGAUACUGGGUAUGGAAAAGAUGUGGAUAAGCAUAA